GCCCCAACGUUGGUCUUCACCCUCUGGUGGAUUUUCAUCCUCUACACAGCAGCAGUGGGGGAAUCUGCCAUCAUUCCUCUGACACCAUCCGCCCUGCACUCGGACGCUUCAAAGGCUCUUCUCUUACGCCUGCUUCUGGAGUUCUACGCUCACCUGUGCAUUUGGCGGCACACCGAUUAAUUCUACCUCCCUAAUAAACACUUUAAUUGUGA